UACGUAGGGUGCAGGCGUAAAUCGGAAUUACUGGGCGUAAAGCGUGCGCAGGCGGUUUGCUAAGACAGGUGUGAAAUCCCCGGGCUUAACCUGGGAACUGCGCUUGUUACUGGCAAGCUGGAGUGUGGCAGAGGGGGGUGGAAUUCCACGUGUAGCAGUGAAAUGCGUAGAGAUGUGGAGGAACACCGAUGGCGAAGGCAGCCCCCUGGGCUAACACUGACGCUCAUGCACGAAAGCGUGGGGAGCAAACAGG
rnacentral:rRNA from 1 species